CCAGGUAUUGUUCAGUGGUUGAAUCUGUGCUUAGCAUGUACAAAGUUCUUGGUUCAAUCCCUAGCACCCUGC
rnacentral:tRNA from 1 species